CGCUUGACGACCAUAGCAAGGUGGACCCACUCCUUCCCAUCCCGAACAGGACAGUGAAACGCCUUAGCGCCGAUGAUAGUUGGAUUCGCUCCUGUGAAAGUAGGUCAUCGUCAGGCAAU
rnacentral:rRNA from 1 species